UAGGUCUGCGGAGACAUUACUGAUUUGCUUAAUUGCACCACAUGUGUUUUUUAUUGAACAAAUUUCUUUGGUGGCGGGAGCAAUCCUACCGCCAGAGGUUAUAACUAAACCAAACUUUUUAUUUACAGUCAAACUUGAUUUAUUAUUACAAUAGUCAAAACUUUCAACAACGGAUCUCUUGGUUCUCGCAUCGAUGAAGAACGCAGCGAAAUGCGAUACGUAAUAUGAAUUGCAGAUAUUCGUGAAUCAUCGAAUCUUUGAACGCACAUUGCGCCCUUUGGUAUUCCAAAGGGCAUGCCUGUUUGAGCGUCAUUUCUCCCUCAAACCCCCGGGUUUGGUGUUGAGCAAUACGCUAGGUUUGUUUGAAAGAAUUUAACGUGGAAACUUAUUUUAAGCGACUUAGGUUUAUCCAAAAACGCUUAUUUUGCUAGUGGCCACCACAAUUUAUUUCAUAACUUUGACCUCAAAUCAGGUAGGACUACCCGCUGAACUUAAGCAUAUCAAAAGCCGGAGAAA
rnacentral:rRNA from 1 species